CACGUAGGGGGCGAGCGUUGUCCGGAAUCAUUGGGCGUAAAGAGCUCGUAGGCGGCUCGGUAAGUCGGGUGUGAAACCCCCAGGCUCAACCUGGGGACGCCACCCGAUACUGCUGUGGCUAGAGUCCAGUAGGGGAGUGUGGAAUUCCCGGUGUAGCGGUGAAAUGCGCAGAUAUCGGGAGGAACACCAGCGGCGAAGGCGGCACUCUGGGCUGGAACUGACGCUGAGGAGCGAAAGCGUGGGUAGCAAACGAG
rnacentral:rRNA from 1 species